UUGUACGCCCUCGCUGUGAUCUCGCUGUGUCAUUACUGAUGUCGUCGUCUUGACCUUGGAGUGGUGUUUCACAGUCAACGGUAUACCUUUGUAAUCCUUCGGUGCCUACAUUUUAAUCUUUAAUUCCUACAAGGAAAACAUGUGUUAACGUCUCGGAUUUUGUCCAGAGCCUAACUUUUGGACAGCCUGCAUUAAAUCAGAUCCCCGCCGGGUCGAAAAUUUAAACGAGUGGUUAGAUGCUGCUGCAGAGUGGAAUGGCGUGAAUUUGAAAGCUACUGGCUUACAUUUGCCGGAUUCGUUUUGAAAGCCUGGAAUGCGAAUUAGAAAUUUAGCCAGAUUAAAAUAUCGUGAGAAGUUAUAUUUAAAGAUGAGGAACCUAUGUAGCCCUUCACAUUACUGACCUGUAAUAAUAUUCUCACCGGAAACGUGGCCACGUGACGGUAAGAAUUCUUCUCGUAUUUUUGGCCGCAGCGCAUCCUCCCUGAGGCCGUGGGCUGAACUGGGUUACUGUUUGCAGUGAGGCCUCCUGGCUGGCCGGGAAUCUCCCUUGACUUGGCUAUGUCUCGCUUUGGGUUCCUGACUUCUUCGAGUGGAGAGUGUUUCCUCAGCUUUGCCCACCGGGUGAUGUCGGGCAGACAGCCCUUUCCUUGCGGUUUCUCCCUCUCCUGAGUUCUGAGUGGCCGCCCCGAUAACGUCUCCGCUCCCUCUUCUCCGUCGUUCCCCACGUGAAAGUGUCUCCUCGGCCUCGAGGAGAGAGCGGAUUUCCAUUUAGGGUCAAAAGAACUCUCAGCUGAUGGCACGCUGCCCUGAAAUGGCAAAGGUUUCCGCCCACGCAGCAGCCCAGUGGCAAGUCUUGUCAUAAGGGGUGUUGAAAGGGGGAUGCCAGCAUCUACGAAGCUCUGCCCAGGAGGCCUCUGAGGUUAUCCCGUUCGCUGAGACGCUGGGGUGAAAAUGCACGCUUUGCCCACGCCUUGGGGGAGGAAACUUUAUUUAUCGCCAAGGAAUGGUGUCUUCUUCCACCUAGACCGGGAGAUGUGACUCUCCCUGCGGGAGGGAGACUCUCCUUCCGCAGUUUAAGCGCACACACUUUUCUCUGGCACCAAACUCGGUACCACCAUUUCAAAGCCAAGUGGGCGCCUGCCCCUUGGAAGCUGGGACAUUGUCUCGGAGAGGUCGGGGCCCACGCCGAUGGGGGGCUUCAGUGCUUUCUUUCUUGGCAUUUAUGGCCAGCAGCGCGUGAGCUCUGCCUGCCCUGAAGGAGCCCCGCGCGUGGAGGGUUGGUCCGAGAGAGGCACAGAUGGAACGGGUUUGGAUCUGGGGCCCCCGAACCCUGAUGACGAGCCGUGAACUGCCCCUUGCAGGGAGGGGGCCACCUUCCAGAGCCACAAAACUCACAGACAGGUCUCCAAGCCAGAGGGUAUUUUAAAAUUUUGUUUUAAGCCCUAGGAAAGACGAUUCUUGCUUAUUAAGAGAGAUUUUCCCCAUUUUGUGCAAGCACAGUGUUUCUCGUAAGUUCUUUGGAGGUCCUUUAUUAAA